UAUUUUUUUACCCAAGGGGUAAAUGUGAACUCAAAUGGACUUUUUAAAACCACACUGUACUUAGGCACCUUAGGUUUUCUUUCAUAAUUAUGUGGAAAAAUAAAAUUGUAGUAUUUUGCUUAAAGCCCAAGUAGUUCUGAAAUUACAAUCAUGUUUCCUAUGCCAAAAUUGAUUAAUCCACUUAUUUUUGCCUUCUGUACAUCCCUACCAUAGUUGGUUUAUUUCAUUUUGAACAACAGAUUGUAAUGGUGUAGACCUUUAUUGGCAUUAAAGAAUUAAAAUGUAACUGGUAAGGAAAAUAACUUUAGGAAUCAUAACAUAUGUCCUUCACAUUUAUUUAUUUUGUUACAAGAGCAGACUUGGUUAUGUUCUGACUUUCACUGUGGCACGCAGAUAACAAAGCGUCUUAAUGACUCUUUGCAUAACAUCCCAAAAAUAUAGAAUGUGUUAGUUGUUUAAUUGUAGGACAAAAGCAAUGGUUACGGAUACACUCCAAGCACCUCUGCUAAAUUAAUUAAUUUAUCAUAUGUUAUAGGGUUGUAGUUGACUAUUAUUUUCAUAAUCACUUUUUUGUAAUUAAUUAGAUAACAUUUAUUUUUGCUUUUUAUGUGGGUGUCAGCCUAUCCGAUGCCAGGGUCAGGGUUUAACCAAUAUAGACUGUUACAAUGCUUGCUGAGUUGACAAACAUAUCUCCCAGUGGUCCUGAGCAGGUAGGUAUGUCUUGAUUUUGGAAAUGUGUCCGUGGAAAUUUUUCUCAGUGCUGAUUCUGUGAACACUAGAAAGGGCUGGGUAAACUGCAAAUGGGUGUUUCAGCCCACAGAAGACCUCCUGUGCAGCAAUCUAGUUGGCUGACCACAUUGUAUGUCUGCCAAGUGUGGGGCAGGCUGCCACUUCUGUUAAUGGUUAUACUCCUGCAUAUUACUGGCACAUCUGCACCAUGGCUUCUCCUGUCUAUAACAGUAGAGCUGAGAAAAAGUUACCACAGUGGCCCUGCCAAUGUCUUUGGUAGAAACUGAAUAUUAAAACUACACAAUAUAUUUUCUUAGGGCUUUUUCAAAAUGCAGUUGUAAUAAUUUUUUUUCUGAAACAGAAGUAACGCUGUGAAUAAAUGGGCUCCUUGCUUUGCUCAGACCAGCUGACGUUUUAGAGAUACAACUAGGAGAGCUUCCUGAACCACAACACAGUCAGACUCUGUCCUAUGACGUUCAACAUCCUCAGAAGUAUUUGAUUAGCGGAACACUGUGAUUGCCACCCAUGCACCUUUUGUCCACAAUGCUUCUCUAUGAGAAGCGUUAAUUGGACAAAAUGUCAUCAAGCUAGGUGACAUCAGAUAGGCAGACCAGACUGUGCAGGAGAGGCUAUCUUAAUGCUGCAUCCCCUGUAAGUUAGGUGUUCUUUUAAUUGUGUGUUUUUAGUUUUUAUUAAAAAUGGGGGGAAGGGUGGCCUGCUACAAAAAAAUUAAAAUAGGGAAUUAUAGUGUACCUUUUAUAUAUAAACCAAUGCUCUUUUUGACACUGCUUAUAUUCAAACUCGAAUAGUAUUUAUUAUGUAAGAGAGCUGGGCUAACCUGCCCAUAGCCCUCUCCACCAAUUAUCGUCAUUCAGGUUGGAUGAAAUUAAUGUUAAUGAGAAAUUAAUAAAUCUCCACUAUCAAUCCUGCACUGACCCUUUUUUUUUUUUCCAAUCAGUUACUAUUUGAUAUAAAGCUGUGGGUUGAUAUCACGCUACUGUAGGCAAAAAAAAACAAAAACACUUCAGCUGUAGUGGUUUUGUUGAUUGGAGUGCCCCUUUAAUACAUGAUAUGGGAAAUAUUCUUGGGUAGAUAACUAUCAGCUUUCUUGCUGCUGUGAACUUUAUAUGUAUUCAUGAGUACCAGCCCAAUGCUAUCCCUUGAACUACUGCAUGAUUGUAGUUGAAGGAAGCCUUUCAUUGCUGGACUGUGUAUUGCCUGUAACUGUGCUGUGGUUUUAUACUGUGAAAUACAUCUUAUUGUUUUUACACUGUCAAAGGUGUUAUUCUCCCGUUACUGGUAUCUCCUCCAAGUGAGCUCAGUUAAGGUGUACUGAAUAUGCAAUAUGUUGCAAUAUGUUCUCAUAACUGACUCUUGUUCACCUGAAUAAUAACCUGGGUGUGAAAUGUUGUUGUAUCAUUUGUUGCUCAUCCUAGUUCACUUACAGAGGAGUGGCCAGCAGCAGCAAGACGUAUGAGGACAAUGCACCUUAAAUACUUAGAUGUCUGGUCAUGCUAAAAAAAUACUUUUAAUUUAUGGACCUGUUGGCAGUUUUCUUAACCCUAUGUUUAGCAGAGACUCUUUAGCACUCUGGCUGUUAGAGGGCCACUUUCAUGCCAUACUUACCUGGGCACACUUAAAGAAAUCCAAGAUUCAGCGGGUUGGUAAAUGGGGACCAAUAUUGCUUGACAGUGCAAACUCUUUAUUCGGUCACCUGUUUGUAUAGUUUUAGCUGUAGCGAUUCCCAUAAAAUGUAGACGAUCGGUACAUAUAGGCUUUAAACAGCCUGGUAUUAGUGAACACAUGGAGGUGUAAAACAUCUGUAAACUGCACAAGAAGUACUAAUACUGUUUCAUUAUGAUGUGUUUUUAUUAUGAUGUUUAGACUGGGAAAAUAAAUAAAAACCUGAUUUGUAUUAAUACUUUUCAGCCUGGAGCUGUUUUUCUGUUUUUGACUGAAAUAAAACAUUUUGAUCAUAUUUUGUUUUUGGUGUGUUCUUUAGGGGAGGAAUUCAUUGCCACACAAAUUUCACUGCUUG
rnacentral:lncRNA from 1 species